GUCUCCUUUUUCCUGUCAAUGAAAUUAAUCUUCCCGUGCAGAAGCGAGAAUAUAAACAUAAGACGAGAAGACCCUAUGGAGCUUAAGACACAAGACAGCCCAUGUAAAACACCUAGCUAAAUAGAACUAACUAAGUGGUUCCUGUCCUUCUGUCUUUGGUUGGGGCGACCGCGGGGAAACAAACAUCCCCCAUGUGGAAUGGGCCCUCCCCCCAAAGCCAGAGCAACAGCUCUAGCUAACAGAAUAUCUGACCUACAAGAUCCGGCAAAGCCGAUCAACGGACCGAGUUACCCUAGGGAUAACAGCGCAAUCCCCUUUUAGAGCCCAUAUCGACAAGGGGGUUUAC
rnacentral:rRNA from 1 species